UACGGCCAUGUCCUGUUGAAACAACGGUUCUCUUUCAGUCACCGAAGUUAAGCAACGUCGAGCCUGGUCAGUACCUAGAUGGGUAACCGCUUGGGAAUGCCAAGUGCUAUAA